rnacentral:rRNA from 1 species
AACGAACGCUGGCGGCAUGCCUAACACAUGCAAGUCGAACGAGACCUUCGGGUCUAGUGGCGCACGGGUGCGUAACGCGUGGGAAUCUGCCCUUAGGUUCGGAAUAACUCAGGGAAACUUGAGCUAAUACCAUAUAAUGUCUUCGGACCAAAGAUUUAUCGCCCUGAGAUAAGCCCGCGUAGGAUUAGCUAGUUGGUGGGGUAAAGGCUCACCAAGGCGACGAUCCUUAGCUGGUCUGAGAGGAUGAUCAGCCACACUGGGACUGAGACACGGCCCAGACUCCUACGGGAGGCAGCAGUGGGGAAUAUUGGACAAUGGGCGAAGCCUGAUCCAACAAUGCCGCGUGAGUGAUGAAGGCC